GUGUCAGCCGCCGCGGUAAUACGAAGGUGGCAAGCGUUACUCGGAAUUACUAGGCGUAAAGCGCAGGUAGGUGGUUGUGUAAGUCUGCUGUGAAAGCUCCCGGCUUAACUGGGAGAGGUCAGCGGAUACUGCAUAGCUAGAGUGUGGGAGAGGGUACUGGAAUUCCCGGUGUAGCGGUGAAAUGCGCAGAGAUCGGGAGGAACACCUAAGGCGAAAGCAGGUACCUGGACCAUUACUGACACUAAGCUGCGAAAGCUAGGGGAGCAAACAGGAUUAGAAACCCCAGUAGUCC
rnacentral:rRNA from 1 species